rnacentral:rRNA from 1 species
UAGGGAAUUUUCGUCAAUGGGCGCAAGCCUGAACGAGCGAUGCCGCGUGAGUGAAGAAGGCCUUCGGGUCGUAAAGCUCUGUUGCGGGGGAAAAAAGGCAGCAUCAGGAAAUGGGUGCUGACUGAUGGUGCCCCGCCGGAAAGUCACGGCUAACUACGUGCC